rnacentral:rRNA from 1 species
AUGCACGCUGGCGGCGUGCCUCGUACAUGCCAGUCGAGCGAACGGACGAGAAGCUUGCUUCUCUAAUGUUAGCGGCGGACGGGUGAGUAACACGUGGAUAACCUACCUAUAAGACUGGGAUAACUUCGGGAAACCGUAGCUAAUACCGGAUAAUAUUUUGAACCGCAUGGUUCAAAAGUGAAAGACGGUCUUGCUGUCACUUAUAGAUGGAUCCGCGCUGCAUUAGCUAGUUGGUAAGGUAACGGCUUACCAAGGCAACGAUGCAUAGCCGACCUGAGAGGGUGAUCGGCCACACUGGAACUGAGACACGGUCCAGACUCCUACGGGAGGCAGCAGUAGGGAAUCUUCCGCAAUGGGCGAAAGCCUGACGGAGCAACGCCGCGUGAGUGAUGAAGGUCUUCGGAUCGUAAAACUCUGUUAUUAGGGAAGAACAUAUGUGUAAGUAACUGUGCACAUCUUGAUGGUACCUAAUCAGAAAGCCACGGCUAACUACGUG